UACAGAGGUCCCAAGCGUUGUUCGGAUUCAUUGGGCGUAAAGGGUGCGUAGGCGGCGAGGUAAGUCUGAUGUGAAAUCCCGGGGCUCAACCCUGGAACUGCAUUGGAUACUGCCUUACUUGAGAACUGGAGAGGAGACUGGAAUUUACGGUGUAGCAGUGAAAUGCGUAGAGAUCGUAAGGAAGACCAGUGGCGAAGGCGAGUCUCUGGACAGUUACUGACGCUGAGGCACGAAGGCCAGGGGAGCGAACGGG
rnacentral:rRNA from 1 species